rnacentral:rRNA from 1 species
CCUACGGGUGGCAGCAGUGGGGAAUUUUGCGCAAUGCUCGUAAGAGUGACGCAGCGACGCCGCGUGAAUGACGAAGGCCUUCGGGUUGUAAACUUCUUUUAAGGGGGAAGAGCAGAAGACGGUACCCCUUGAAUAAGCCACGGCUAACUACGUGCCAGCAGCCGCGGGAAUACGUAGGUGGCAAGCGGUGUCCGGAUUUACUGGGUGUAAAGGGCGUGCAGCCGGAGAGACAAGUCCGAUGUGAAAUCCACGGGCUCAACCCGUGAACUGCAUUUGAAACUGUUUCCCUUGAGUGUCGGAGAGGUAAUCGGAAUGCGUUGUGUAGCGGUGAAAUGCGUAGAUAUAAGGAAGAACACCAGUGGCGAAGGCGGAUUACUGGACGAUAACUGACGGUGAGGCGCGAAAGCGUGGGGAGCAAACAGGAUUAGAUACCCCAGUAGUC